rnacentral:rRNA from 1 species
AUGAACAUCGCCCUCCUGACCCGCUGGCUAUGGCGCAUUGCCAAUGGCGAGGGAGGCCUCUGGCUAACUAUCAUCCAGAAUAAAUACCUACGUGGACAGCCCCUGGCGUUCUGCCAAUGCUCGGGCGGUUCCCAGUUUUGGCAGGCUGUCGUCCAGCUGCUACCAGUUCUGCGUAUAGGCACUUCCAUCUCUGUGGGCUCUGGCGCCUCGACCUUUUUCUGGCUGGAUAGAUGGCUUGGGGACUCCCCUCUAGCCGCCCGGUUCCCCAUCCUCUUCGAUAUUGUAGUUGACCCUCGGGUCUCUGUCGAGGCGGCCCUUAUUGACUUAGGGCGCCUCGCGUUCCGCCGCCCUUUUGGACCUGCCGAGGUGGCUGCCUGGGAUGAUCUCCUCCAGGACAUCGCCCUGCUGCCUAUGGAGGUGGCAGACGCUCCGGAUGCCAUCUCCUGGCGCCUAGAUCCCUCCGGCCGCUUCUCCACCAAAUCCCUCUACGCGGCCAUUGCCCCCUCGUCAGCUCCGGAGCCCUUCGGCCUUAUCUGGGACAUUCGCCUCCCACUUAAGAUUCGGAUCUUUCUGUGGCAGUGGAUCCGCGGCCACCUCCCGACCGGCGUGGAGGUCCUCAAGCGCCAUGGUCCUGGUGAUGGAAUGUGCCCCUUGUGUGCCACGGUUGAGGAUGCUAAUCACAUCUUCUUCUCGUGCUGCACGGCACAGUUCCUUUGGUCUUGUUUCCGCGAAACGGUUGGCGGACAGUGGUGCAAUACCAACUUCCCUGACUUGCUUGCCGAAAUUCAGGCCUCCCCCCCUCGCUACAGACAUAUUAGAUGGCUGUGCGUCGGGGUGCUGGCCUGGACCUUGUGGACGGUUCGCAAUAGGCUUGUCAUUCAGAAGGUGCCCCUUCGACGUGCGACUGACUCCAUCUUUAAAAUGUGUGGUUACUUGCAGCUCUGGCGGCCGCUUAGCCGCCCCCGGACCGGGACGCCAUCGAUAGACUCCUCACCGACCUCCGUUCGUUGGCCUUCCGCCUGGCACCUCCGCUCCCGCCGCCACCCCCGGAGCCCGACUAGUGGAUGA